rnacentral:rRNA from 1 species
GACGAACGCUGGCGGCGUGCCUAAUACAUGCAAGUAGGACGCAGUUGCGAACGGGUGAGUAACGCGUAGGUAACUACCUAUUAGAGGGGGAUAAAUAUUGGAAACGAUAGCUAAUACCGCAUACUAGUAGAUGGACCUGCGUUGUAUUAGCUAGUAGGUAUGGUAAUGGCCUACCUAGGCAACGAUACAUAGCCGACCCGAGAGGGUGAUUGGCCAAACCGGGAAUGAGACACGGGCCAGACUCCCACGGGAGGGCGCAGUAGGGAAUCUUCGGACAUGGGGGGAACCCUGACCGAGCAACGCCGCGGGAGUGAAGAAGGGUUUCGGGUCGUAAAGCUCUGUUGUGAAGGAAGCGGUACUUAACCAGAAAGCGACGGCUAACUACGUGCCAGCAGCCGCGGUAAUAC